rnacentral:rRNA from 1 species
GACGAACGCUGGCGGCGUGCCUAAUACAUGCAAGUAGAACGCAGUUGCGAACGGGUGAGUAACGCGUAGGUAACUGCCCCAGAGCGGGGAAUAACUAUUGGAAACGAUACCAAAAACCCCAUACUGUCAGAGGUCCCUUCGUUGUAUUUGCUAGUUGGCGAGGUAAAGGCUCACCAAGGCGACGAUACAUAGCCGACCUGAGAGGGAGAGCGGCCACACUGGGAAUUGGACACGGCCCAGACAGCUACGGGAGGGAGGCAUAGGGGAGCUUCGGCGAUGGACGGAAGUCUUACCGGUCAACGCCGCGUGAGUGAAGAAGGUUUUCGGAUCGUAAAACUCUGUUGUUAGGGAAGCGGUAACUAACCAGAAAGGGACGGCUAACUACGUGCCAGCAGCCGCGGUAAUAC